rnacentral:rRNA from 1 species
AGCGAACGCUGGCGGCAGGCCUAACACAUGCAAGUCGAGCGGCCGUAGCAAUACGGCAGCGGCAGACGGGAGAGUAACACGUGGGAACGUACCCUUCAGUUCGGAACAACCCAGGGAAACUUGGGCUAAUACCGGAUACGUCCGUAAGGAGAAAGAUUUAUCGCUGAAGGAUCGGCCCGCGUCCGAUUAGCUAGUUGGUGAGGUAAUGGCUCACCAAGGCGACGAUCGGUAGCUGGUCUGAGAGGAUGAUCAGCCUCACUGGGACUGAGACACGGCCCAGACUCCUACGGGAGGCAGCAGUGGGGAAUAUUGGACAAUGGGCGCAAGCCUGAUCCAGCCAUGCCGCGUGGAUGAUGAAGGCCCUAGGGUUGUAAAGUCCUUUCGGCGGGGAAGAUAAUGACGGUACCCGCAGAAGAAGCCCCGGCUAACUUCGUGCCAGCCGCCGCCGUAAAAC